UACGGGGGGGGCAAGCGUUGUUCGGAAUUACUGGGCGUAAAGGGCUCGUAGGCGGCUUGGCAAGUGGAUGGUGAAAUCCCUCGGCUUAACCGAGGAACUGCCGUCCAAACUGCUUCGCUUGAGACCGGGAGAGGUGAGUGGAAUUCCCAGUGUAGCGGUGAAAUGCGUAGAUAUUGGGAGGAACACCAGUGGCGAAGGCGGCUCACUGGACCGGUACUGACGCUGAUGCGCGAAAGCGUGGGGAGCAAACGGG
rnacentral:rRNA from 1 species